UACGUAGGAGACGAGCGUUGUCCGGAGUUACUGGGCGUAAAGGGUGCGCAGGUGGCGGCGCGCGUGGGGGGUGAAAUCGUCCGGCUUAACUGGGCGGGGGCCUUCCAGACGGCGUGGCUUAAGCAGCGGAGGGGGACGUGGAAUUCCGGGUGGAGCGGUGAAAUGCGUAGAGAUCCGGAGGAACACCGACGGCGCGGGCAGCGUCCUGGCCGCUUGCUGACACUGAGGCACGAAAGCUGGGGGAGCAAACAGG
rnacentral:rRNA from 1 species